rnacentral:rRNA from 1 species
GUGGAUUAGAUACCCUGGUAGUCCACGCUGUAAACGAUGGAUACUAGGUGUGCGGGGACUGACCCCCUGCGUGCCGCAGUUAACACAAUAAGUAUCCCACCUGGGGAGUACGAUCGCAAGGUUGAAACUCAAAGGAAUUGACGGGGGCCCGCACAAGCGGUGGAUUAUGUGGUUUAAUUCGAAGCAACGCGAAGAACCUUACCAGGGCUUGACAUGGGGAUGACCGGGCUAGAGAUAGCCCUUUCCUUCGGGACAUCCCACACAGGUGGUGCACGGUCGUCGUCAACU